rfam:Felis catus isolate Cinnamon breed Abyssinian chromosome B3, whole genome shotgun sequence.
ACCAUCAAGGAGCUGCAGGACAAGAUUCUUGUGGCCACCAUUAAGCACUCCAAGAUUGUCCUGCAGAUUGACAAU